rnacentral:lncRNA from 1 species
GAUCCUGGCUACACCCCUUCCGGUCACUCAGGAGCAUUGCUUGCACCUGAGCUCCCCUGGGUUGGCCCUCCCUUCCCACCAGGUGCUCAACCACUGGUUCAAACCAUGACUUAGCAUUUCCACUACACCUCCCUCAGGAGCUUCAUCCUUUACUGUUUGUAGGUUUACCUGCUAAUGCUCAUCGUGGUUAUAAGCUCUGACUCAAGAGCUCUUAUUAUUCGCCACCAAAAAAUCACUGCAUCAGGAUUCAAAACAAGCUUUGGUGAUUGAUGCCUCACUGAUACAAAUGAUGACACCGAGAGUUCAUAAAGCUACAGUGAUCAGCGCUGAAGCACACAUCCUCUACCUCCCUGCAUGUCUUGCAUUAUAGCCACUUAGAGUUAUUCAGAGGUGUUCGGAUGGUAUGUCUCUGUGGUAAAGCCAGCUGUGAGCGAGCUUUCAGCCAACGCAGAAAACAAAAAGGGCAACAAAGAAAUGCAAAAGCACCAACAUGCAGAGCGACCUGAAGAGAGCGUUACGUGUCUGUGUGCGAGAGAAUAAGUGCACAAUAACGAGUGUGAACUCCCAACAUUCUGGCAAGAGAAAGCUGAAUGAUGAGCCAUGGUGCGUGUUGGAAAAAUAGUGAGAAAAGGCUUGGGACACUGCAAGGGCAAAGAGAAUCCAGGAGAGGUCUGAGGCACGGAUUGUGGCAGGACCAUGUUUGAAAAUCACUGAGUCCACACAUUACCGGUUACACUUGCUGUGCGGAUUCAGCAGGAGAUAAUAUUAUUCGCAAGCAAUGUUCAGGCUGUUCAGUAGCGGAUCGUGCAGCAGCUGCUGCUUUACAGCCCCGAAAUGGCUGUAUUUCAGCAGUAGAUACAGUGGUGCCAGUAGAUUCUAAGUGUUUGGGCAUUUCGCUAGUUAGAAAGGUGUUACAAGGUUGUAUCAUUUACUGUCU